rnacentral:rRNA from 1 species
UAAGGAAUAUUGCGCAAUGGACGAAAGUCUGACGCAGCAACGCCGCGUGGGUGAUGAAGCAUCUUGGUGUGUAAAACCCUUUCAGUGGGGAAGAAACGUAUGACGAGUAACUGCGUCGUGCCUGACGGUACCCACAGAAGAAGUCCCGGCUAACUCCGUGCCAGCAGCCGCGGUAAUACGGGGGGGACAAGCGUUGUUCGGAUUUACUGGGCGUAAAGGGCGCGUAGGCGGACUGUCAAGUCGGAAGUGAAAACCGGAGGCUCAACCUCAGGCUUGCUCUCGAUACUGUCAGUCUUGAGUACAGAAGAGGAAAGCGGAAUUCCAGGUGUAGCGGUGAAAUGCGUAGAUAUCUGGAAGAACACCAGUAGCGAAGGCGGCUUUCUGGUCUGAAGCUGACGCUAAAGCGCGAAGGCUAGGGGAGCAAACAGGAUUAGAUACCCUGGUAGUCCUAGCGGUAAACGAUGGGUACUAGGUGUCGGGGGUAUCGACCCCCUCGGUGCCGAAGUUAACGCAUUAAGUACCCCGCCUGGGGAGUACGAUCGCAAGAUUG